rnacentral:misc_RNA from 1 species
UUAUCAUUUAGAGGAAGGAGAAGUCGUAACAAGGUUUCCGUAGGUGAACCUGCGGAAGGAUCAUUGUCGAUACCUGCAGCAGCAGAACAACCCGUGAACCAUUGACACCGCGACUUGUGACUCUUGGGAGGCUCUUGCAGCCCCCUGAUUGAACAACAAACCCCCGGCGCGGCACGCGCCAAGGACAUCAAAGUGGAACGAACGGCGCGUACUGGCGGCUACUAGCCCUCGGGACGACGCUGGCAUUUCGAAUUCUUGAACGACUCUCGGCAACGGAUAUCUCGGCUCUCGCAUCGAUGAAGAACGUAGCGAAAUGCGAUACUUGGUGUGAAUUGCAGAAUCCCGUGAACCAUCGAGUCUUUGAACGCAAGUUGCGCCCGAGGCCACCAGGUCGAGGGCACGUCUGCCUGGGCGUCACGUGACGCGCCACACCCAACCCCACGCGUGGGGGGUGGGGAGUGGAGAUUGGCCUCCCGCGACGCGCGCACGGUUGGCUGAAAUGAAUCCCCCUGGUGUCCCUGAACGACGUGAUCAGUGGUGGCAAGCUAAUGAUGCGAUCGAGCGGGCGCCGGAGGGGCACGAUACCCUCGUAAAGUACACACCGUGCGACCCCAGGUCAGGCGGGGCCACCCGCUGAGUUUAAGCAU